GCUUUAGCACUCUCUCCGGUUGCAAUGGAGUGGGGCAGGAUCAGCGCGAUCAGCGCGAUCGGCCUCUAACUUCGUAGCCAUCGUAGACAGUGCAGAGCCCGCAUGUAACGUGAGGGAAGUUCAUGAGGGAAGGUAUCUAAGACAUGUUAUUAAGAAAGGAUAUUGAAUAGUACUGAUAUCAGUACGGCAUAAGCCAAGUUCCCUAAGUUGCGGCUUGACCUGGAUUCGGUGAAGUUCAGCUCCCGCCUAGUAGCGGUCAGGCUGCCAGCGGCAUUACCUCCUCAGUCGGUUAGCUAGUCAGUCGUAUACUGGUAAGUUGCAUGAUCUGGCUAUAAGUGUCGAUGACAGUAAUACCAGACGGCAGGUUCAUGAGGGCUUAGACAUCAUACUAG
rnacentral:misc_RNA from 1 species